rnacentral:rRNA from 1 species
UACAGAGACUGCAAGCGUUAUUCGGAUUCACUGGGCGUAAAGGGUGCGCAGGCGGCCAAGUGUGUUAGGCGUGAAAGCCUGAGGCUUAACCUCAGAAUUGCACCUAAAACUACAUGGCUAGAGCAUUGGAGAGGGUAGCGGAAUUCACGGUGUAGCAGUGAAAUGCGUAGAUAUCGUGAGGAACACCAGUGGCGAAGGCGGCGACCUGGGCCAAUAUUGACGCUGAGGUGCGAAAGCGUGGGGAGCAAACAGG